GCUGCCGGCGCGGGGGCAGAGGAGGCAGCCCGGAGGCGGUGGCCGGAGGAGCGAGGCCGCGGGGCUCCGCAGCCAAAAGCAGAUCGCCAUGGCCCUGACAGCGGCGGCGGCAGGAAGCAGGCAAGCGGGCCCACAGGAGGCUUGAACUUGACACCCUCGGUGUGCCAAGCCUGCACACUAACUACUGAGCUACAGUGGUCACCUGAAAACAGAUUUUUUGAAGAGGAUUUGGAAUUGCAAUAUUAUUUUGUUUCUGCUAAAGGUCAGUGACCUGUUGAGAGAGAAGCAGUGGGUCUGCGCCUGGAUUUCAGAGUCACAGUGCUGCCACGGUGCUGAGCAGCCCGUGAGGAAGGAGAGCAUGUCUGCUUUCAGGCUGUGGCCUGGCCUGCUGAUGGUGCUGGAUUCUCUCUUCCCCCGAGCUUCAUCGUGUGGCCUUUCAACACAUGUCGAAAUAGGACACAGAGCCCUGGAGUUUCUCCAUCUUCAAAAUGGGCGUGUUAACUACAAAGAGCUGUUACUAGAACACCAGGAUGCGUAUCAGGCUGGAACCGUGUUUCCUGAUUCUUUUUACCCUGACAUCUGUAAAGGAGGAAAAUUCCACAGUGUGUCUGAAAGCACUCACUGGACUCCGUUCCUUAAUGCAAGCAUUCAUUACAUCCGAGACAAAUAUCCUCUUCCCUGGGAGAAGGAUACAGAGAAACUGGUGGCUUUCUUGUUUGGAAUUACCUCUCACAUGGUGGCAGAUGUCAGCUGGCAUAGCUUGGGUAUUGAGCAAGGAUUCCUUAGGACGAUGGGAGCUAUUGAUUUUCAAGGCUCUUAUUCUGAGGCUCAUUCAGCUGGGGAUUUUGGAGGAGAUGUGUUGAGCCAGUUUGAAUUUAAUUUUAAUUACCUUGCACGACACUGGUAUGUGCCUGUCAAAGAUCUACUGGGAAUUUAUGAGAAACUGUAUGGUCACCAAGCCAUCACCAAAGAUGUAAUUGUUGAGUGUUCUUACCUUCAGUUCUUGGAAAUGCAUGGUGAAAUGUUGGCUGUUUCCAAGCUUUAUCCCACUUACUCUACCAAGUCCCCAUUUUUGGUAGAACAAUUCCAAGAGUAUUUCCUUGGAGGACUGGACGAUAUGGCAUUUUGGACCACUAAUAUUUAUCGUCUGACAAGCUUUAUGCUAGAGAACGGGACCAGUGGCUGCAAUCUACCUGAGAACCCUCUGUUCAUUACAUGCAGUGGCCAGAAAAACACUACCCAGGGCUCAAAAGUGCAGAAAAAUGACUUUCACAGAAAUUUGACAGCAUCCCUAACUAAAGAUAUUGAAAGAAACUUAAACUAUACUGACAGAGGAGUGUUCUUCAGUGUGGAUUCCUGGACACCGGAUUCUGUAUCCUUUAUGUACCAGGCGUUGGAAAGGAACCUAAGGACGAUGUUUACAGCUGGUUCUCAGGAGUCACAGAAGUAUGUUUCCACUCCCAUAGCGUCUUACUUCCUGUCAGUUCCCUACGCAAGGCUUGGGUGGACAAUGACCUCGGCUGACCUCAACCAGGAUGGGUACGCUGACCUUAUAGUGGGUGCACCGGGUUAUAGCCGCACCGGCCACGUGCAGAUUGGGCGUGUGUACCUCGUCUAUGGCAGUGACCUUGGCCUGCCCCCUGUUGACCUGGACCUAGACAAGGAGGCCAGUGAGAUCCUCGAGGGGUUCCAGCCCUCAGGUCGUUUUGGCUCGGCCUUGGCUGUGUUGGACUUUAACAAGGAUGGUGUUCCUGACCUGGCCAUGGGAGCUCCCUCGGUGGCCUCCGAGCAGCUCACUUACAAGGGUGCUGUGUACAUCCACUUUGGUUCCAAACAAGGGAGAAUGUCUUCUUCCCCUAACAUCACCAUCUCUUGCCAGGCCGUCUACUGUAACUUGGGCUGGACACUCCUGGCUGCAGAUGUCAAUGGAGACAGCAGGCCCGAUCUGGUGAUUGGCUGCCCUUUUGCACCAGGUGGAGGGAAACAGAGGGGAAUUGUGGCAGCAUUUUAUUCUGGCCCCAGCCAGAGCAACAAAGCAAAGCUGGACGUGGAGGCAGCCGACUGGAUGGUGCGAGGUGGGGAGGACUUCGCCUGGUUUGGAUACUCCCUUCACAGCGCUGGUGUAGAUGACAGAACCUUACUGCUGGUGGGCAGCCCAACCUGGAAGAAAACCAGCAGUGUGCUUCAUUCUAAGCUGGGCCAUUUGUUCCACAGUGGUGAUGAGAAGAGCCUUGGGAGGGUGUAUGGCUACUUCCCCCCAAAUUGCCAAAGCUGGUUUACCAUUUCUGGAGAUAAGGCAAUGGGGAAACUGGGCACUUCCCUGUCUAGUGGCCACGUAAUGAUGAAUGAGACGCUGACACAGGUGCUGCUGGUUGGGGCACCAACUCGAGAUGAUGUGUCUAAAAUGGCCUUCCUGACCAUGACCUUGCAUCAGGGUGGAACCACACGGAUGUAUGGGCUCACAUCUGACACACAGCCUUCCCUGCUCAGCACCUUCAGUGGAGACCGCCGCUUCUCUCGAUUUGGUGGAGUUCUUCACUUAAGUGACCUGGAUAAUGAUGGCUUAGAUGAAGUCAUCAUGGCAGCCCCACUGAGGAUAGCAGAUAUAACUUCUGGACUGAUUGGGGGAGAAGAUGGUCGUGUUUAUAUAUAUAAUGGCAAACAGAUCACCCUUGGUGACGUAACAGGCAAAUGCAAGUCAUGGAUAACUCCAUGCCCAGAAGAAAAGGCCCAAUAUGUAUUGAUUUCUCCAGAAGCAAGCUCAAGGUUUGGGAGCUCCCUGAUAAGCGUGAAGUCCAAGCAAAAGAACCAAGUUGUUGUUGCUGCUGGAAGGAGUUCCUGGGGAGCUCGACUCUCUGGAGCACUUCACGUCUAUACCCUUGGCUCAAGUUAAAGAUUUCACUCCUGUUUUCCCACUCGGCCUCUCCCUCUCAACACGCUCAGUCAUCUCCAGGAUGAGCAUUCUCGUGGACAGAUUGGCACAUCCAUUGCAGCUAUGGUACAUCCUGAACACAGAGACAGCUGCUUUAACAGUUGAUGAACCUGGUGAUUCUCCACUAGUUUUAAGUCAUCUCACGAAGGGCCUUUGUUGCAUUUGGCUGCCACAAUUGUGCCAACAGAACCAGAGCAAAAAGGAGAUCUGGCCUGAGCCAAAGGCUACUGCAAGGGACCAACUAAGUGAGACACCAACAGGAGGAAGCAGGUAUUUUUGGCAUCACCUGAUCCUGGGCUUUUUUUUAGUAGGGUAGAUUUCAUCUGCCAGUUUGACAGUGUGGCACAUUUAAGGGGAAACAAUGUAGCAUAGAGUUUUAGCAUCACUAAAAAUUUACAGUCAUCAUUAUCUGUAUAUAGUAACUAGCCUAUUUUGUAUCAAUCACGGAAGAACCUCUUUCCUGUGACACUGGUGAAGUGAUACUAAAAACAGGAGAAAAUAACAAAUGACAAUAGCCUUCUCUUUUCAGCUUCUGUAGAGGUAAAGACUAGUGAAAAGGAGACAGAAGAGGAAUCAAGCUGAAGUGUAGAAAGUUAAUUAGAAUCCAAGGAAAAGCCGGGUCCCAUGGCACACACCUAAUCCUAGCACUCUGGGAGGCUGAGGCAGGUGGAUUGCUUCAGCUCAGGAGUUCAAGACCAGCUUGAGCCAGCGUGAGACCCUGUCUCUGGAAAAAAAAAAAUAGCUAGACAUUGUGGUAGGCACCUGUAGUCCCACCUACUCAGGAGGCUGAUGCAAGAGGAUCACUUGAGUCUAAGAGUUUGAGGUUGCUAUGAGUUAUGAAGCCACAGCGCUCUACCAAGAGUGACAAAAUGAGACUCUGUCUAAAAAAAAAUAAUAAUAAAAAAAACCCUUUAUACAUACCUUUACAAAUACCUGUAUGUGUAUUUGUCUCAAUGCCUGAACAUACCAGAUAACAAGCACCAGACAGAGAAAGCUAAAGUUAAACCUAUAAAGGAGACAAAUUUCCAAGUUUAUAGAGUAUUUAGCAAUACUCAUCCCAGUGUCAGAAACAAUGUAAAUUAUUCUCCUAGUGUUAAAAGUCAACCUAUCUGGCAAAAUGGGGGAAAAAAAUGGGGAACUAGUGUUAUACUCCUAGUGUUAAAGGUUAACCUAUCUGGCAAAUAUGCAGACAUGUGGAAAAAAAAAUGAUAGUUUUUAGACUGUAUUAUCCCAAUAGGUGGACUAACUUCGUUUUAUGAGGUAUAAACUAUAUAGCUCUAAGCAUUGAUUCUGAAAUGCUUAGUAACUAAAAUGUAAAUACCUUGUAAAUUUUAGUAACCAAAAUUUAUCAUUAGCGUAAGUCUGAAUGUACAUAACAGUUUAAUUCAAAUUUAUCUUUAUUUCAAGAUACCAGAACACAUUUACAUCCUUGCUUGUUUCUAUCUGUAUAUGUAACAACUUUCUUCAAAGUUUCAAGAUCACAAUCAUUUUAUGCCCUUGUAUCACAGACCUAAAAGAUGAGAAUGACUUCAAGAUAGUUUGGCAACAACCUCAGAUCUCUGGAGUCCCUAUUCCAUGCACCACCAUUCAUUAGAUCACUUGUGUAUUACUAAUGUACUGAAAGUGAACCCUAAAUUCAAAAUGUGAAUUUAAUAUUUCAAUUCCAAAAAAAUAAACUUGUGUAAAACUCUUGGUAUAACUCACCAAAAUAAAUAGCUUUUUAAUAUAAAGCUUAGUGUUAAUAGCAUUUUCAAAUGACAUUUGUUUUGCCUGCCUUUCUUAGAGGCCUUCCAAAGACAAAGUCAGGCUGCUAAGAGUUUCACACCUUACACCUGACAUGUCCACUCACUCACAUAACCCACUAUUUGGUGUUUUACCACUUUACUUUCAAAUAGUAAAGUGCUCAGUGUAUUAUUUUAGUUCAAAAUUUAAAAGCAAUUUAUUAUUUAUAACUUUAAUGUCAGAAGCAUCCUGCAAUCACAAAAAUGAGCUACUUGACAUUUUGAAAUAAUACCUCAUCUAAGAAUUUAUUGAACCACUAAUGAAUUGCCAUUAUCAGACUAUAAUGUAGUUACAUCAUUUUUCCUUUUAUUAAUGAACAUGAUUCAUCAAAAAAAUUAUUUUAUCCAAGCUCAUAAACUAAGUAACACUAUAAGGAUCAAAUGACCAAAAUUCUAUUCUAUGCCUGAUCUUAGUUAUCAAGUUUUGCCCUCUGAGAUUCCAAUUCUUCAAGUCACAGUGAAAUAGUAUUUAUUACCUUUAUUACAGUGUUUUAACAGAACAAAAAUAGCAGCAAAAUACUCUGAGGUGUGCCAAAAAGUGGCCUGUGAAGUCUAAGUAUUAUCAAAGAUAGUCUUGAAAAUCAUCAGAUGCAUAAUGCUAAACUGUGCUUAUAUUUACAGUCCAACAAACAAAUCAUAGGGUGUGUUCCUGACCCACCGUGCAGUGCACGAGGCCAGUCUGUGCUCCAAGUCUGUUUGUUUCAUGCUAUUCUGCUUCCAGCUUCCCUCCAGUGGGUCUCAUAACCACGAGAGUGGGAAAAACUUUACUUGCAACAUCUUAUGUUUUCUUCCAAAUCAGUUACUGGAGUAAUAUUAUUCCAUUACCAAACCACCUGGAAAAUGGACCCCUAAACUUCCUCAUACUACAUAGCAUAAGGGUAAUCUGGUACCCUUACCAUCAGGGUAGGCAUAUUUAUCCUCUUAUUACCACACAGUUGUAGGGCAAGAGCUUCUCUAGAUACUCUAGGAUCUUCUAUGCAUGCCAGUUUUGGUGCAAGUUUAAAUGUCCUAGUGCAUAACUGUACUCAACCUCCAGAAAAAAUUUUAAAAGGUAGGUAAGACAGCAGCUUUCACUUGUAAUUACACAAAUCUCUGACUGUGGCAACAAAAAGCUAUCACAAUUCUAACAUUUAUCUACCCUCUUGUUUUAGGAAACCCAUCUGUCAACUUUUGAGGUAUAGCAUAUAGAUUAGCUUAAUAUACAUUUUCCUUUACAGGGGCGUAAAAAUAUGCACUGAUAAUCAGUAAAUGCACAAGGCAGCCAUAACCAGUAACUGAAUGGAAAAUGCUUCCUUUCUACUUUACUUCCAAAGGCUCUAAUUAUAGCCAAGCAAAGAAAAAUGGUUUCAAGGGUCAAGAAAGUGGUAUCUUGAUUAACUGGAAUCGUACAGUGCAGAUAUUAAAUUAUCAUUUCUUCACCUUACAUAUAAAAGAUGGAAAAUACAAAAAUAUAAGGUAUGUCAAGGAUUGACUUUUAAAGCACAAACUUCCAGAGUUUAGGGUUAAUGCAUAUACUUGUUAUGCUAGCUUUUCAGUCACCUGAGAUCAUUCCCUGUACUAACAAAAAACCACGGUCACCGCUAUGUAUUUGUCGAGUUCCUCAGCUUCAUUCAGUAUGAAACUGAACUUUUCCUAAUAUGUACAAACUAAAUGAAAUCUGUACAAGUCUGUUCUUCAUGUUAAACCUCUUCAUGUCUUACAUCAUGUCUAUAAAAACAGCAUUUAAAGUUUGUAGGAAACAGAUUUUGGGCCUUUUACAAAGCAAGCACUUUGCUGCUUUAAAUCGGAAUUCCAGAAAUGCAAUAAAGUUCUAGUAUUGUGAAUGCCAUAA